CGUAACAAGGUCUCCGUAGGUGAACCUGCGGAGGGAUCAUUACACAAAUAUGAAGGCGGGCUGGAACCUCUCGGGGUUACAGCCUUGCUGAAUUAUUCACCCUUGUCUUUUGCGUACUUCUUGUUUCCUUGGUGGGUUCGCCCACCACUAGGACAAACAUAAACCUUUUGUAAUUGCAAUCAGCGUCAGUAACAAAUUAAUAAUUACAACUUUCAACAACGGAUCUCUUGGUUCUGGCAUCGAUGAAGAACGCAGCGAAAUGCGAUAAGUAGUGUGAAUUGCAGAAUUCAGUGAAUCAUCGAAUCUUUGAACGCACAUUGCGCCCUUUGGUAUUCCAAAGGGCAUGCUUGUUCGAGCGUCAUUUGUACCCUCAAGCUUUGCUUGGUGUUGGGCGUCUUGUCUCUAGCUUUGCUGGAGACUCGCCUUAAAGUAAUUGGCAGCCGGCCUACUGGUUUCGGAGCGCAGCACAAGUCGCACUCUCUAUCAGCAAAGGUCUAGCAUCCAUUAAGCCUUUUUUUCAACUUUUGACCUCGGAUCAGGUAGGGAUACCCGCUGAACUUAAGCAUAUCA
rnacentral:rRNA from 1 species